UGCAAGUGCAUGUGCACGUUGCUAGGUCAUGUUCCUGGAAUAAGCUUGGUUUUUCUGCAGCAUCUUCUUUUACCUUCUCAAGGCAGGUCUUCCCGUCCUCAGCAUAGAAGUGUUGAAGAGUCACACAUGUCCCAGCCAUGGUUUUUGGUGUCCUUGAUAGGGAGGAAGCCGUGAGGAUUCUAGUGGUCAGAGGAAACUUGGAUGGAUUUUUUUGAUUCAUGAAAUUUCAAGUAAUCCUGGUACAUUGGUUCUUACCAUGGUUUAUGAACGACAUUUUCAUCUCAUUAUACACCAGCAAUCGAGUCCUUUGUCGUAUACAAUUCAUGUACAAAAAAGAAAAAAGAAAAAAGAGGACCAGUGUUUCCAGACAUUGUACAGCUCAUACAGUUCUACUCACAAAAUCUUGGUCUCGAGUGCAAGCUUAGAUUGAAAUGAUACAAAGUAGCAAUUAUGAAAAGAAUAUUGUAUGUAUAAUAGUAAUAAUAAUGGACAUAUAACUGCUGUAGGACGUUCAAUUUGACGUUCUUGUAUUGUUAAUUAAUAAAAAGUGCA